rnacentral:tRNA from 1 species
GGCCAGUUAGCUCAGUCAGUUGAGCAUGGCACUGACAAUGCCAAGGUCGCAGGUUCGAUUCCCGUUCGCUU